rnacentral:rRNA from 1 species
AACGAACGUUAGCGGCGCGCCUAAUACAUGCAAGUCGCACGAGAAAGGGCUUCGGCCCCGGUACAGUGGCGCACGGGUGAGUAACACGUAGGCAAUCUACCCUCGAGUGGUGGAUAACCC